rnacentral:rRNA from 1 species
AUUGAACGCUGGCGGCAGGCUUAACACAUGCAAGUCGAGCGGAGAGAGGUAGCUUGCUACUGAUCUUAGCGGCGGACGGGUGAGUAAUGCUUAGGAAUCUGCCUAUUAGUGGGGGACAACAUUUCGAAAGGAAUGCUAAUACCGCAUACGUCCUACGGGAGAAAGCAGGGGAUCUUCGGACCUUGCGCUAAUAGAUGAGCCUAAGUCGGAUUAGCUAGUUGGUGGGGUAAAGGCCUACCAAGGCGACGAUCUGUAGCGGGUCUGAGAGGAUGGUCACCCACACUGGGACUGAGACACGGCCCAGACUCCUACGGGAGGCAGCAGUGGGGAAUAUUGGACAAUGGGCGCAAGCCUGAUCCAGCCAUGCCGCGUGUGUGAAGAAGGCCUUAUGUUUGUAAAGCACUUUAAGCGAGGAGGAGGCUACUUUAGUUAAUACCUAGAGAUAGUGGACGUUACUCGCAGAAUAAGCACCGGCUAACUCCGUGCCAGCCGCCGCGGUAAAAC